UGUCUUCUUUUGAGAAGUGUCUACUCAUAUCUUUUGCUCACUUUGUAAUGGGGUUGUUUGGUUUUUCUUGGUAUGAAUUCACUGCCCUAAAAAGAGUGGCGAAACCCAACCAGAGAACCCCUCGAGUUGAAAAGGCCUCAAUUCAAAUUGGAGAGGAUGUCCUGCCCCUCUCCUCUCAGACGCGCCUAGGUCACAGCUUCUUAGGAUAUGCCUGCUUGCCCCCAAUUUUCUUCUUGCAAUGAGAACCUCGACAUGUGGCUCCUUUCUUUUUCUCCUUUUGGAAGCUCCCAGUGCUACAACCAUUCCCAGGGAUACAGGCGCUAGAAAGACAGCCCUGUGGUCAUGACGUAUAAUUUGGGCGCUGGGGCAAAAAAGACUUUUUUUUUUUUGCAUCCGAUUCCAUCACUUCUGCUACGCUUAGCGGGGCUCGUGGAAGAAACACGUGCGUCGCUGAAUGGAGCUGGUCGCUGGUUGCUAUGAACAGGUCCUUUUUGGAUUCACUGUACACCGAGAGCCCGAGAAAUGGACUCCUGUAGCUGACUUCAAUCACCAUGCCCACACUGCCUCCCUGUCAGCAGUAGCUGUAAAUAGUCGUUUCGUAGUCACUGGGAGCAAAGAUGUAACAAUUCACAUUUAUGACAUGAAAAAGAAGAUAGAGCAUGGGGCUCUCAUGCAUCACAGUGGCACAAUAACUUGCCUGAAAUUCCAUGGCAACAGGCAUUUAGUCAGCGGAGCAGAAGAUGGACUCAUCUGUGUCUGGGAUGCAAAGAAAUGGGAAUGCCUGAAAUCAAUGAAAGCUCACAAAGGACAGGUGACCUUCCUUUCCAUUCAUCCAUCUGGCAAGCUGGCCUUGUCUGUCGGCACAGAUAAGACUUUAAGAACAUGGAAUCUUGUGGAAGGAAGAUCAGCAUUCAUAAAAAAUAUAAAACAAAAUGCUCACAUAGUGGAGUGGUCCCCUAGGGGAGAGAAAUAUGUAGUUAUCAUACUGAAUAAAAUAGACAUCUAUCAGCACGACACAGCAUCCAUUAGUGGCACCAUCACAGAUGAAAAGAGAAUUUCCUCUAUUAAAUUUCUUUCAGAGUCUGUCCUUGCAGUGGCUGGAGAUGAAGAAGUUGUAAGGUUUUUUGACUGUGAUUCACUAGUAUGCCUCUGUGAAUUUAAAACUCAUGAAAACAGGGUAAAAGACAUGUUCAGUUUUGAAAUUCCAGAGCAUCACGUUAUUGCUACAGCAUCAAGUGAUGGUUUCAUUAAAAUGUGGAAGGUGAAACAGGAUAAGAAAGUUCCCCCAUCUUUACUCUGUGAGGUAAACACCAAUGCCAGGCUGACAUGUCUUGGAGUAUGGCUAGACAGAGUGCCAGACAUGAAAGCAAGUCUUCCUCCAGUUGCAGAGCCUGCUGUAAGUAAAAUCAGUCCAAAAUCAGCAAAAAGGAAUCUGGAGACUUAGUGCAGGAAGAAGAAAAACAGUCAAAACCUAACACAAAAAAAUGUGAGUUAACUGGUGAUAGUAAUAAACAAACAAAAGGAAAUAACCUGGUAUCGACCAAGAAAAGGAAAAUGGUAUAGAAAUAUUGGAAAAGAAGAGAAAAAAGAAGAAAAUAUAA